CCCUUUUACCCACUUAGGAGUAAGGAGCUGAUAUCAGGCACAAAAUUGCCCAAAACAUCUAGCCACGCCACACCCAUAAGGGUACACAGCAGUGAUUAACAUUAAAUAUAAACGUCAGUUUGAUUUAGCCAAUGAAAAUAGAGCCGGCAAAUCUGGUGCCAGCCGCCGCGGUUACACCAUAUGGCUCAAAUUGAUCUCAAUACGGCGUAAAGCGUGAUUAAAGAAAUACAGACUACUGGGGUCAAACUUUAACUAAGCCGUGACACGCUUGUUCUUAAGAAGCCCUAUCUCGAAAGAUACCCCAACCCACCAACUUGAAUUCACAACAGCUAGGACACAAACUGGGAUUAGAUACCCCACUAUGCCUAAUCGUAAACUUUAACUUACACCACAUCGCCAGGGAACUACGAGCAAAGCUUAAAACCCAAAGGACUUGACGGUACCCCACAUCCCCCUAGAGGAGCCUGUCCUAUAACCGAUACUCCACGUUCAACCUCACCAUUUUUGGCUAAUCAGUCUGUAUACUUCCGUCGUCAGCUCACCGCGUGAGCGAAUAGUAAGCUCAAUGUCAUACACCAAUACGCCAGGUCAAAGUGCAACAAAUAAAAUGGCAAGAGAUGGGCUACACUCUCUACCCUAGAACAUACGAAAGAUUAUGCGCAACCAUAUUCAGAAGGCGGAUUUAGCAGUAAGAAGAGAAUAGAAUACUCCUCUUAACUCGGCACCGGGGCAUGUACACACCGCCCGUCACCCUCUUCAACAACCUACUCUAGUACUUAACAACCUACCCCUAAUAGAAGAGGUAAGUCGUAACAUGGUAAGUAUACC
rnacentral:rRNA from 1 species